rnacentral:rRNA from 1 species
GAUGAACGCUGGCGGCGUGCCUAAUACAUGCAAGUCGAGCGAACGGACGAGAAGCUUGCUUCUCUGAUGUUAGCGGCGGACGGGUGAGUAACACGUGGAUAACCUACCUAUAAGACUGGGAUAACUUCGGGAAACCGGAGCUAAUACCGGAUAAUAUUUUGAACCGCAUGGUUCAAAAGUGAAAGACGGUCUUGCUGUCACUUAUAGAUGGAUCCGCGCUGCAUUAGCUAGUUGGUAAGGUAACGGCUUACCAAGGCAACGAUGCAUAGCCGACCUGAGAGGGUGAUCGGCCACACUGGAACUGAGACACGGUCCAGACCCCUAAGGGAGGCAGCAGUAGGGAAUCUUCCGCAAUGGGCGAAAGCCUGACGGAGCAACGCCGCGUGAGUGAUGAAGGUCUUCGGAUCGUAAAACUCUGUUAUUAGGGAAGAACAUAUGUGUAAGUAACUGUGCACAUCUUGACGGUACCUAAUCAGAAAGCCACGGCUAACUACGUG